rnacentral:rRNA from 1 species
CCUACGGGGGGCAGCAGUGAGGAAUAUUGGUCAAUGGGCGCAAGCCUGAACCAGCCAAGUCGCGUGAGGGAAGACGGCCCUACGGGUUGUAAACCUCUUUUGCCGGGGAGCAAGCCUGAGCACGUGUGCCCAGGCGGAGAGUACCCGGAGAAAAAGCAUCGGCUAACUCCGUGCCAGCAGCCGCGGUAAUAGGGAGGAUGCGAGCGUUAUCCGGUUUUAUUGGGUUUAAAGGUUGCGCAGGCGGCCUGUUAAGUCUGCGGUAAAAGCCCGGGGCUCAACCCCGGCGAGCCGGUGAAACUGGCGGGCUGGAGUUGGAGAGAAGUACGCGGAAUGCGCGGUGUAGCGGUGAAAUGCUUAGAUAUCGCGCAGAACCCCGAUUGCGAAGGCAGCGUACCGGCUCCACACUGACGCUGAGGCACGAAAGCGUGGGUAUCGAACAGGAUUAGAUACCCGUGUAGUC